AUCGAUGAAGAACGCAGCGAAAUGCGAUAAGUAAUGUGAAUUGCAGAAUUCAGUGAAUCAUCGAAUCUUUGAACGCACCUUGCGCUCCUUGGUAUUCCGAGGAGCAUGCCUGUUUGAGUGUCAUUAAAUUCUCAACCUCACCCGUUUUCUGAACGGUACCAGAGGCUUGGAUGUGGGGGUUUGUGCAGGCUGCCUCAGCGCUGGUCUGCUCCCCUGAAAUGCAUUAGCGAGUUCAUACUGAACCCUCCGUCUAUUGGUGUGAUAAUUAUCUACGCCGUGGACUGGGUUUAGACUCGCUUCUAACCGUCCGCAAGGACAAUACCUUUGACAAUUUGACCUCAAAUCAGGUAGGACUACCCGCUGAACUUAAGCAUAUCAAUAAGCGGAGGAAAAGAAACUAACAAGGAUUCCCCUAGUAACUGCGAGUGAAGCGGGAAAAGCUCAAAUUUAAAAUCUGGCGGUCUUUGGCCGUCCGAGUUGUAAUCUAGAGAAGUGUUACCCGCGUCGGACCGUGUACAAGUCUCCUGGAAUGGAGCGUCAUAGAGGGUGAGAAUCCCGUCUUUGACACGGACUACCGAGGCUUUGUGGUGCGCUCUCAAAGAGUCGAGUUGUUUGGGAAUGCAGCUCAAAAUGGGUGGUAAAUUCCAUCUAAAGCUAAAUAUUGGCGAGAGACCGAUAGCGAACAAGUACCGUGAGGGAAAGAUGAAAAGAACUUUGGAAAGAGAGUUAAACAGUACGUGAAAUUGCUGAAAGGGAAACGCUUGAAGUCAGUCGCGUCCUCCGGGAAUCAGCCUUCCUUCUGGUUGGUGUACUUCCUGGUGGACGGGCCAGCAUCAGUUUUGACCGGUGGAAAAAGUUGGAGGGAAUGUGGCACCUUCGGGUGUGUUAUAGCCCUCCUUCGUAUACAUCGAUUGGGACUGAGGAACUCAGCACGCCGCAAGGCCGGGAUUCGUCCACGUUCGUGCUUAGGAUGCUGGCAUAAUGGCUUUAAUCGACCCGUCUUGAAACACGG
rnacentral:rRNA from 1 species